AUUCUGUAGCAAGGUUAACCGUAUAGGGGAGCCGGAGGGAAACCGAGUCUUAACCGGGCGUUAAGUUGCAGGGUAUAGACCCGAAACCCGGUGAUCUAGCCAUGGGCAGGUUGAAGGUUGGGUAACACUAACUGGAGGACCGAACCGACUAAUGUUGAAAAAUUAGCGGAUGACCUGUGGCUGGGGGUGAAAGGCCAAUCAAACCGGGAGAUAGCUGGUUCUCCCCGAAAGCUAUUUAGGUAGCGCCUCGUGAAUUCAUCUCCGGGGGUAGAGCACUGUUUCGGCUAGGGGGCCAUCCCGGCUUACCAACCCGAUGCAAACUGCGAAUACCGGAGAAUGUUAUCACGGGAGACACACGGCGGGUGCUAACGUCCGUCGUGAAGAGGGAAACAACCCAGACCGCCAGCUAAGGUCCCAAAGUCAUGGUUAAGUGGGAAACGAUGUGGGAAGGCCCAGACAGCCAGGAUGUUGGCUUAGAAGCAGCCAUCAUUUAAAGAAAGCGUAAUAGCUCACUGGUCGAGUCGGCCUGCGCGGAAGAUGUAACGGGGCUAAACCAU
rnacentral:rRNA from 4 species